AGAAUCAACGCUGGCGGCGUGCCUAACACAUGCAAGUCGAACGAGAAAGUGGAGCAAUCCAUGAGUAAAGUGGCGCACGGGUGAGUAACACGUGACUAACCUACCCUUGAGUGGGGGAUAACCUAGGGAAACCUGGGCUAAUACCGCAUAAUACCUUCGGGUCAAAGGAGCAAUUCGCUUAAGGAGGGGGUCGCGGCCGAUUAGUUAGUUGGCGGGGUAAUGGCCCACCAAGACGAUGAUCGGUAUCCGGCCUGAGAGGGCGCACGGACACACUGGAACUGAAACACGGUCCAGACUCCUACGGGAGGCAGCAGUGGGGAAUUUUGCACAAUGGGGGAAACCCUGACGCAGCAACGCCGCGUGGAGGAUGAAGUCCCUUGGGACGUAAACUCCUUUCGAUCGGGACGAUAAUGACGGUACCGGAAGAAGAAGCCCCGGCUAACUUCGCGCCAGCAGCCGC
rnacentral:rRNA from 1 species